rnacentral:rRNA from 1 species
GACGAACGCUGGCGGCGUGCUUAACACAUGCAAGUCGAACGGAAAGGCCCUGCUUUUGUGGGGUGCUCGAGUGGCGAACGGGUGAGUAACACGUGAGUAACCUGCCCUUGACUUUGGGAUAACUUCAGGAAACUGGGGCUAAUACCGGAUAGGAGCUCCUGCUGCAUGGUGGGGGUUGGAAAGUUUCGGCGGUUGGGGAUGGACUCGCGGCUUAUCAGCUUGUUGGUGGGGUAGUGGCUUACCAAGGCUUUGACGGGUAGCCGGCCUGAGAGGGUGACUGGCCACAUUGGGACUGAGAUACGGCCCAGACUCCUACGGGAGGCAGCAGUGGGGAAUAUUGCACAAUGGGCGGAAGCCUGAUGCAGCAACGCCGCGUGCGGGAUGACGGCCUUCGGGUUGUAAACCGCUUUCGCCUGUGACGAAGCGUGAGUGACGGUAAUGGGUAAAGAAGCACCGGCUAACUACGUGCCAGCAGCCGCGGUGAUACGUAGGGUGCGAGCGUUGUCCGGAUUUAUUGGGCGUANAGGGCUCGUAGGUGGUUGAUCGCGUCGGAAGUGUAAUCUUGGGGCUUAACCCUGAGCGUGCUUUCGAUACGGGUUGACUUGAGGAAAGUAGGGGGAGAAUGGAAUUCCUGGUGGAGCGGUGGAAUGCGCAGAUAUCAGGAGGAACACCAGUGGCGAAGGCGGUUCUCUGGGCCUUUCCUGACGCUGAGGAGCGAAAGCGUGGGGAGCGAACAGGCUUAGAUACCCUGGUAGUCCACGCUGUAAACGGUGGGUACUAGGUGUGGGGUCCAUUCCACGGGUUCCGUGCCGUAGCUAACGCUUUAAGUACCCCGCCUGGGGAGUACGGCCGCAAGGCUAAAACUCAAAGGAAUUGACGGGGCCCCGCACAAGCGGCGGAGCAUGCGGAUUAAUUCGAUGCAACGCGUAGAACCUUACCUGGGUUUGACAUGGAUCGGGAGUGCUCAGAGAUGGGUGUGCCUCUUUUGGGGUCGGUUCACAGGUGGUGCAUGGCUGUCGUCAGCUCGUGUCGUGAGAUGUUGGGUUAAGUCCCGCAACGAGCGCAACCCUUGUUCACUGUUGCCAGCACGUUAUGGUGGGGACUCAGUGGAGACCGCCGGGGUCAACUCGGAGGAAGGUGGGGAUGACGUCAAGUCAUCAUGCCCCUUAUGUCCAGGGCUUCACGCAUGCUACAAUGGCUGGUACAGAGAGUGGCGAGCCUGUGAGGGUGAGCGAAUCUCGGAAAGCCGGUCUCAGUUCGGAUUGGGGUCUGCAACUCGACCUCAUGAAGUCGGAGUCGCUAGUAAUCGCAGAUCAGCAACGCUGCGGUGAAUACGUUCCCGGG